CCGUCAUUCCCAUCGCUUCUUCAUUAAUGCUUAGGUCUUAAUUUUACAAUGGAGCCUCUAAUGAAGCUUGUCUUUGAGUCAAUCUACUUAGUCUUUAUUGACUCGAGGAAUAAUCCAUUUUUCUCUUAGAAAAGUUGCUUCAACUGUUCAUGUCAAAUAAAAACAUAAUUUUUUUGGAGUUGAAGGGAAAUAUCCAAAUACAUGUCUUAUUCUUUUCAAUAAUCCAUAUUUGUAGCAAUGAAAUACUAUUCUUCCUCCCCCAAGCGUCAAUGGUUGAUUACAAAUAUCUAUAAUCUAUAUUCUCUAUAAAGGGCCUGAAAUACCUUGCUUACGUAUCAUUGAAAAGUGCAUUAACAUAAAUACG
rnacentral:lncRNA from 1 species